AGGCUGUUAGUAACAGGCUGCUGUUGCAGAGGGAGGCGACCCCCUUGGCAGGCCAACCACAGCCCCCACCGCCACCUCCUAAGUGGCCUGGAAUGAUCUCAAGUGAACAGCUGAGCUUGGAGCUGCACCAGGUGGAGAGGGAAAUCGGGAAGAGAACCCGGGAGCUGAGUAUGGUGAGUGCUUUGUAGGGUGAGCAGAGGAGACUGAAGAAGUUGCUGUUGCUUGGAGAGCCAAUCUUCAUUGGAAGUGAAAAGCAAAGUGAGUGCCAGUAAGCAGACUGAAAAUGGACAGCAAAGCAAGGUACCAUCUGAGGAUCUUGCACUGACAUUCAGCAGUGAUGUUCCAAAUGGAUCAGCUCCAACCCAAGAAACCAUUGGCCUCCUCUCGAAAAAAACUGCAGCUCUGAGCUUGUCAGAGGAUACUGAAGGGGGAGGAAGUGACCAGGAUGCCCAGAGGACAGGAGCAACGCCCUCUUCUGCUCCCUGAAGGAACAAGAGCCUCUCUCCACUUCUGUCAGGGGGUCACCUUUCCCCUCAUUGAGAUAAUGGGAGACACUGAGCAAGAACUGCAACAAUGGCAGGUCCUGAGACAAUGUGCACAACACCACUACUAGAACAAACCCUGCACAUAGUUCACAUUAACACAUUUUUUAAUUAAAAAAAUGAAAAUUAGCAGUAUCUGCAAGCAACUCAGAUUAAAUUUGUUUUUGUUCUGUGAAUGAACUUUAUUUUAAUAACUUUGGAUGCCUUGAAUGCCAGGGCUUUAAAAGAAACAUAUUAUAUAUAUAAAUAUAUAUACACACACUCUGUUUGAUUAAUUGUAUGACCUUAAUGAGGUAGGUUUUCUCUUUUAUUUUGGUAUUAUUACAUACCCAGUGUAUAAUUCCUCUUUCCUCCUCCCUUCAGAAUAAGCUCACCACUGUUUUGUGUGAGUGAAAAAAAAAACAGGGAAUGAGACAGAGGAGGAAGCUCUAAAUUGCCUUGUCAGAAAAUGUGUAACAGAGUUUCUGAAAGUAAUUCUCUGUAACAGUGCUAGUUCCUUGCAAUUUACCAUCAUAUUUUUUCUAAAUGUGAUAACUUUUUAACUUUGAUUUGUGAAGCAUUUAUCAUCACCUCAGCAAUAACAAAACUAUCGUACAAAGAAAACCUCAGAGUGAAAAUGAUUUUUCCAUUUCUGAAGAGGCUAGAGGUAUCUGAUUCUUCAUUCAGUAUAAAUUGGCUAAUAUUUCAUUUAUCUUGGCACUCUCUAGAGGCAGCCAGUCUUCUCAAGUGUAGAGUAGCUUCAGAUGUGCUAGAGAUGGGUGUUAAAGAUGAGAAAUGCCGGCCUCUCUGCUUCUUUGUCAGGUCCAAAGCAGAACUUCUGUUAUUUUUUUGUAUUCUGAGGGACUGCAUAGUAUCCUAAUGCAUCUUCUGCAUCUGCCAAAGGUGAGAACUGCUAAAGCUCUACUAUGGGUGUAACGGAGAAGCAUGAAGACAGAAAAUGCAGGCACUUUUACUUCCUGUUCCCUCUGCCUCUUUCUUGCAUCCAAAGCUGCUCUUAGUUGUCACACACCUGCAUUGGAGAGGCAUGUUGACUCUCCUUGCCAUCUUCAGUCUCUGAAAGUCAGGGGUUUCUCUGAGACUCGCUUACAAGAUAAUAAAACUCCUCAGUUUUGCUUUCAGCAACUCUGUCUCAACAGCAACACCCUUCAGGAUAUACAUGGGAUAGAAACACUUGUUUCUGCAGAUGCCAUUACAUUUAAGACUGUCCUUAAAAUGCCACUAUGCAGACGGUAGUCCUACUCAUGCUGUGCAUAUUUUGACUUCCUCCUCUUUCCCUCCGACGUAUAUGUGGGUAGACAAGCCUGCUUCUCCCAUAUGGAUUAGACUACUAUAAAUCACAGAAAGCACUGGUUAUGUAAUAAGCUGAAGCAUUGCUUUGGUUGGGUAAAAGCAGAAGUUUAUAAAUCUUGUUUUAAGUUGUUUUUCUUCCCUUACCCUUUUGAGGUCAUAGCAAACUUCAGUUAUUUUGCAUCUGUCUUACUGUUAUAUAAAACAUAAUGGUGGGGAUACAGGCCCCCUGUUGCCUACCAGUAGGAGAGUCUAAGCAGAAGACUCUGUUGAGUAGUGAUUAUUUAAUUUGCCCAGUCAAGGCACCGCAUUUAUAUACUAUUUCACAUUGAAUUUGAUUAUGCCCUACAGACCUGGCUGGCCAAAAAAAUUGAUAAAUGUAUUGGCUUGGGAUUCGAGCAUUCAUUUUUUUAUUUAAAUAAAUAUAUAUAUAUAUAUAUGUAUGUAUGUAUCUAUAUAUACACACAUAUAUGUAAUUAUAUCUGUAUAUAUAUUGGGUAUGUUUUAAGAAUUUUUUCACAUGAGCGCAGCUGUUAUAAAACAUCUGGGAGGUAGAGGCACUGAAAAAAUAAAGGGCAUUUUAACUUUCAUCUUCCCUUUCUCAUAAAUUCACAUACCACUCUAACCCAAGAAAUGUUUCUUGUUCUUUCACACCACCUUUCUCUCCCCAUCCCCACCCAACCUCCCCACUUUCCAUUGAAGUCUGGAUAGAAAUAGUUCUUAAGAGAAUUGCUUACUUGAGAGAGCCCUUCACACCUUUACAAUUUUCCUGAUGAGGGAAACCGAGAGAGGAAUGAAAUAAGUAAGCACUAAACUACCUUUGCUUGUAAAGACAAUUAUUAUUAUCAUUUCUCAUGACACAGGAACUCUUUUCAGCUAACCGGGUCCAUUAUUCCUAAUCUAAAGGGCCUAGCCCAGAAUACAGCUGUCUCAUUUUUGUUUACAAGAAAAAAAAGUUUAGUCAACCUGGGACAUAUAUUAUGCAGCUCUCUCUUACAAAGAUCUUCCCCUCCAAUAAGAGUCUAGUUUGGAGAAAGAAAAAAUUGCUUUCUGUUAGGUGUACCAAGGAGCUUAAUUUCCUGUACAAGAAGUUUUCUGACUGCAUUUCAUUGUGCAUACAGUGAGUAUAUGUAAAAGGCAGGGUGGAGAACCUUUAGCCCAUGAACUAAUCUUGGCUUGCUAGAGGUUCCAGUUUGGUCUGUAAGGCCAUAUUUCAUAAACCACCCCCGUCUAGCCAUCAGGUGACUUCAUCUGAUGGUCAGGGGGAUUCAAUCCCUUCAGAAAGCAGGAUUGAAACCCCCACCCAUGAGCUGAUGGGCAGGUAGUUCAAUCCUACUAAGUUCAAGUGCAUAAGAGAGUACCCCACAAGGAACUCUUAUCACUCACCUGAAGCCUGCAGAAAGUAAGACUGAACUCCCUGUGCAUCAGCUGAUGAGCGGGAUCACCCAUCUGCCAAUUACCUGGUAUCAUCCUUAUGUCAGACUACCCACCUGUCAAAGUUGGCCCAUGGGGUGAGGUGGGGGACAUAAAGAUCUAGCCCACCAGGCCAAAAAGGUUCCCCACCCGAUACAGGGGAGUGGGAUCAUGGUGGCAAGCCCAGCCACCUUACAUUCACUAGUCUGUCUAAACUGUUCCUCUGCAUGUACAAACUAUGUGCCUAGAUUUUUAUGCAUGCUUAGGGACAUUGCAAAAAGUAGUUUGUACAUGUGCCUAAUCUGUUUGCCAUGUGUGCCAUGGGCAGAAAAACAGAAAAUGUCAUUGCUGAUCCUGUUUGAAAAGUUUCUGCUAUAAAGGUACAUGCUCUCAAUGUGAGCUUACAAGGCAGUCCUCUUAAUAUUUGUCUCACCACCACCUGGAGCUGCACUUUGUGCAGUGUCCUGUCUAGGUUAUUGUCCUGUUUGCACAAGGAAAUCGUUUUGUUUAAUCUCCUCAAACCACAUUGAUCUUGGCUUAGUUUCCUAUUUCCCUCAUUUUUGUGUGUGAAAUUUAAUCAACAAAUGUGAACACAUAAGGAAUUAGGAAAAGGCUCUGAGUUUUUCAGUGACUGUUUGGUGAAAUGUACUGAAUAGAAGAAUCUGUAGUUCAGGAGUGGGAAACCUUUGGCACUCCAAAUGUUCCUGGACUCUAGAUCUAGCAAUCGGGGUCAGGGAUUAUGGGAGUUGCAAUACUGCAACAUCUGGAGGGCCAAAGGUUCCUAACAUCUGUUGUAGUUGAUCUACUUUGGCCUUUUAUAAUCUAAUUUUCCUGGGGUCCUUAUACUGGGAACUUUUAAUGCCAUGUAAGGUAAAGGGCUGGGUGGGGGCAAUCCUUCUCUAGCAAGGAGAUUGAGUAAUUAUUGAAACCUGAGAAAUAGCAGCUGUAUGAUAAUUCCAGUGGCUCUCAAAAAAGCCCUUUUCAGAAUCUUGAGUUACAAGUACAUAAACUUGGAGAGAAAAGUCCGCUGGCAUUCCCCUUGCAUCAAUUUUUUCUUGCAUAUAGUUUCUAUCAGGUUUCUUAGAAAUAUCACAACACAGUGGGCUUUUGAAACCAUCCAAUGGGAUCCAGAAUCUGCUAGCUUUGACACCAGCUUCCAGAUCCUGUACCUUUGUACUCAAGAUGCCUCAUUACAGUUAGGAAACAGGAAAACAGUCAUAUACAUAGAUACACAUACAUCACCAUCAUAGAUGAACCAUACAGGAGCAUCCUUCAUAUAUGCUGUGCUUGAGUGUCUGACAUAUUUUUCUCUGAUAUGUUUAGCAUAAAAUUUUCAUAGCUGUGAUUAGUGAACUCUUCCGUAGAUUACCACUUUCUUUUCACUAAGUGAUAAUGGAUUCUAAUUUUUAUUUUUUAUUUAAUCUCCUGUUCCCUUUAGUCCUUGUUAGAGCAUUAUAGUCAUUUGUUGCCCUUUAUACUUUGGUGGUAUGACAUCAGAUAGUCGGCUUAGUAAUGUGUACUCACUGAAACACUCCUUGAUAAAUAGAACAAAAUUCAAUCCUAUGGAAGAUUUAUGAAGGAUUUACAGGUAAUACUUUUAAAAGUUUAACUGAGGAUCAGAAUAAUAUUAAAGAAACUCAUUCAGUGUAUGAACAAAUGUAAUUCUUAUUGCCCUAGAAUAAUUUAAGUACGUUCUUACUCUUUCAGGUUAACUUUUUGCAGUAUCCAUUCUAAUUUAGCUAUUCUGGCUCCUUCUGCUUCUUGUUUUUUCAUUUCCCUCCAUCACCCUCCCUGAUCAUGCACCAAUUGAAAGCUUGCUGCCUCAAAACAGAGCAUUCAGAUGAAUUCGCUUAGCCAAUAACUUCUGUGAAGUUGCCUUUUCUAAUGGUGUUAUUACUCAGUGAUGCACAAAUGUGGUAUUGUCCCUACUGGUAGGCAAAUGAGGGGGGUCUGUAUAAAUGUGGGAAAUACCCCCCUCUUUUUUGUUCAAGGAGAGCCAAAGACUUGUGCUUUACUCUUGAUUUGGAGGGGGGGCGCGUUAUUUUAUUCAUUUUACUGGGUUAGCCAGUUUGGAUUUAACAUUGUUUUAUGUUUUCAGCUCUUAACACUGGUAAACAUAUGUAAACGCUCAUGACUGUUGAGCCUUACAAAAAUACAUUCAGUGAUGGUGAAUUAUUAGCACAUUUCAGAAGUGGUAUGUUUAAGCCUCAUUAAAUUUGCAGCCAUUUAUAGCUCCCCUUUUCUAUUUUUUUAAAUGCUUGAACAAUCUCCCAUCAUGGUUCAAUUUGCAAUUUGCAAAAAAAGGCUUAUUAAAAAGCUAUUGUUUACUGUCAUUGUUCCUGCUUCAAGUUUUCUAUUGAACGCUAGUAAAAGUAAAUAUAAGGAAGCUUGAAGAAUUUGAAUGGAAGUAGCACCAGAUGUAAUGAAAAGCAGAAGUAAAUGCAUGGAGACACACUGCUCAUGCUGUUUGUGCAGGUAGAUCUGUGGUACUUGGCUACAGAAAGUAUAUUGCAUUCUGUCCUGGAAAUAUGACACAUUACAUCCUUUUUCUGCAUAUCCAAACUAUAUAGAACCCUCUCUCAUUAGUCAAAGAUUAAUACAUGAAUUCAUAAAGGCAAUAAUAUAUAACCAAAAAUCACUUGGUUUCAUAUUUCCACUAAAGCAGGCAUUGGCUUCUUUAAAGUAAACAGCCCCAAGGAGGUUACUCUUCAGUUGUUUUCCCUAAUUUCAUCAAUACGUUCAUAGUGUAAAUUACAUGAUGGUCUACAAGUUUGUAAAUCUUUCUCUCUAUGGAAGGAAACUUUUUUCCAGAGCUAGGUUUGCCAGGCUGUACUCUUGAAAUCCUACCUGUUUCUUUAAAAGAUCUGGAAGGAGCAGAAGAAAAUAUACCACAAACACAUUUCCCAUCCUUAUUCCAUCAUCCACUCUCACACCCUAUUUGUUACAAUCAGGACUCCAGUUUUAUCUUAUACUACAUGGAGGUAGAUGGUAGACAAGUAUACCAGUGGGAGAACUGGAUGGAAAGCCUGCAAAUUGCAUUCUCUCCCCUUGCCUCAAAAUAUUUAAAGGGGCAGACAGAACUUCCCAAUUGGAGUCUGACAACCCUAGAUAUUUACUUCGUCCAGUCUGUGUUGUCAAAGUCAACAGUUUACAUUAUUAGUAUGAAUGAGAAUUUUAAAAGAAAGCUUCAGUGGUAUUGGUUGAUUAAAGUCAAUAUUUGACUUUAUAUUCUAAAUCAAGCCCCCAUAGUGGCCUGCUCCAGAAAGAAUAUGACAAUGGCCUCAUUAAGACAUAGUGCUAAAACAUGUUUUUAGCAUUACAACAAGCCUGUGUUAGUCUUUGCAUGCUCCUUGGAACAGCUGCAAGGAGGGGUUCAGAAUAUUUUGUUUGUUUUAGAUUAACUACAGCUUGCCAUGUGGUCUGUACCAGGAGAAAAUGCUCAACUUCUUUUUUUAGACAAGCCAGCUUCAAACCAUAGAUUAACUACAUUUUUUUUUUGCUUGGGCAAUAUGGUAAACUCUGGCUAAUCUAAACUGGAAACAGAAGCUUUCAAGCUCCUUCUGGCAACCACUUUGGAGGAGGGGAUGAGUGCACAAGUCCAAGGUUCAUAGAAGCUCAUUCUUGUAAUUCUAAGCAUCAUGUCCAAAUAUAGUGAACCAGUUCACACAUCGCAUUAAAUCAUUGUGUAAAACAAAUUAUGGUUUCAUGUGAAUAGUGAGUAUGCUGGUGCAUGCUGCUCCAAAGCUCUGUCACCAAACUGCAGAUGAAACAAGCCAAAAUCUGGCUUGUCAUGUUGCCUGAACCAGGGCUUGUGUUUUUUCCCCUCCAAACAAACCAUGAGUGGUGACCAACAUUUGUUCUUGGCUUGCUGCUCGUACUGUGUUCAGAGAAAACAAACUUCAAGCUUGGGUUUUAGACAACAUGACAAGCCAGUAGAAACAUUUGAGGAGUAUGCUGCUCAUUCACAUGAAACCAUAGCCAGCUUUAUACUAUUAUUUAAUAGUAUAAAAUUAAGCCAAUUAAAUGUUGGUACAGAAUUCCCCAUUUCCACUUCUUUACUCCCCCUCAAUAUGGCACAUACCACAAAGGACGAUUUUACAGUUCACAGUGUUCACUCUCUCUCUCUCUCUCUCUCUCUCUCUCACACACACACACACACACACACACACACUCACACACUGAUUGAUUAAACUAUAAAUUGCAUGAGAUUAAAUAUGUCCCUGCUUCACCAAAUGGUUUCUGAUGUAACUGCUCUUUACAGAACAUGAAUAGAGACUAACUAUAUCUUUUGUAGGGUGCAGAAUGCCAUUUUCCCCCCAGAAAGGGAAUCCACAAAGCACUACAAAAAUACUUCUUCAACUUCACCAUCUCCCUGGUGCGUGAGUUGAUCACAGGUUGUUUGUAAUUUGCUUCUAUUGACAAGCAGCAGAUAUUCAGUUCUGGGGGAAGACAAUCCACCAUUUUCAGGAACAGUUGUCCAAUAUUCAUCAAAGUAAUAAUUUUUAAACACCCCAAAUUAUUUCCUUUUUCACUGAAUCAACCCAGAGACAGUUCUGUAGUUAUCAAAACUGUAGCUUAUUAGGGACAUAUUAAUGAUGUCCAAAGUAAAACAGGAAAAUUGCCCCUUCACUGCUUCAGUGGGAUUCCUGUGGUAAACAUGUCUGGAAUGGUCAGUGUUUUAAUGAAUUACUAUGGCUGAAAUUGUUUUUUUAUUUCUCUGAGCUACUGCAAUAAGGGUCUGGUUUUGAAAGGCAGUGAUUACUUUCAGCUUUCAUUAUGAUGAUAUCUUAAAAGUUCAGUAAUAGCUACAAUUACCAUCUGACUGGAUUGCUUCAGUUCUGAUAUCUAACAUUAGUUGCCUAUACCUAAAUAACUUACAUAUUUAUAGCCAGAUGAUGCUUUUUUUCCCCCCACAUACAAAAAAGUGUUUCAUUUUGGAGCCAACAGUUUGGGAUUUUUUUUUACCAAAAGAAAAACUAUAAAGCUUAAAUACAGUCUCUCUCUGUCUCAAAAUUAAAAGUAUUAGAUAUGCUGAUGUUACAUGUAUACAUAUCUUUUAUAAAAACAAAAUCCUGUGGAGUAUUUGGUGUUUGCUAUAAACAAAAUUUGUUUGCUUCUGUGUAUGUUAAAGUGACUUUGGGCACAAUUUGUAAGUGGGAAUAUCUUCGUACACAAGUCACAUUGAAUACAUGGGAUAUGUGCAAGAAGACCACCUCUGUGCCCUCUUGUCAUUAAUGUUAGUUUGUUGUGGCAGACAAUACUCACAAGUCUUUGGCAUCCAAAACCAGGUUGUGUAACUGGAUCAGAAUCCCUCAACUGGAUUUGCAUAGGGAGAGCCUUCCAACUGAGCAUUAGAUAAAGGUAGCUAGGGGUAGGGAACAAGACUGGCAGUCCCACUUAUUUUGCCAGCUGUCUACAGAGCUGAGUUUCAAGCUCUGUACAGAUGCAUAAAUUGAUUCUCUGCUGCCUAUUGUGAGUUUACAAUUGCCUUACAGUCUCUGCUUGCUAUGUAAGCAGCCUCUUUGCUAACCAUGGACCCCUUUCCUUGAAGGCGACUUUAUCAGCAGCAUGGUGGCAUUUUAAAACUAGUUUUGAAGGACCUGCAGUCAAUAAUCUAGAUUUUGCUCCUUAUUUUUCUUCAUCAAACCUGCCUCGCUCUCAAAUUCCCCUGACCACUUCCAGUUGUGGGAUUUCUCUAAACGUGUGUGCAUCCUUUAUGGUUGUGUGCGGGGGGGGAGGGGGUGUUAAGCCAAGUUUCCUUUGGUCUUUUUAGGAUUGUACCAAUCUCCCCGAGACAUUCUUAAGUCAUUAUCACCUUUUUGGGUGGAGUUCAUUUUUUAAUAACUUUUUUGACAUUUUGGUGCAUAUAUGCUUGGGAUAGAGCUCAUGUAAUUUACCAAUCGUAUUGAUUGUAUGUGAUUGUGCCCUGCAGAGGUAUAUUUAACAAAAAUAAAAAAUAAAAAAUUAGUCUAGGAUGAUGCUGAUGAUAAUAAAGAAGACUCCAAGACAUUGAA